rnacentral:tRNA from 1 species
GGGGAUAUAGCUCAGUGGUUCUGCAUCUGCCUGGCAAGUGCAAGGACCUGAGUUCAACUCCCAGUAUCCCUC